GUUGGCUUACUUCUUAAAAGUAGACUAAUUUCAUGGGUUGAAAUGGAUUUCAUGAUUCUUUUGAGAACUAGAAAGCUUAUCAAAGGGACAAAGUUAUGGGUCUAAUAUCGAGACACCAAUUUUAGUGGUAUAUUUUAGCAGCCUUGAAUCCAUCAUAUGAUGCAAGAGUAUGUCAUUGUAGCAUUGAACUCUUUUCUGCCGCUCAGGGGGGAGAUCAAAUAUUUUGUUUUCAUUUAUAUUAUAAACUGGAUAUGCUUGCCAAUUGCUGCUGAUGAUUCCUCUUUAAGAGUGUAAUUAUGUAUUCAGUUCAUAGCUGUAAUGAGCUCCCCAGCUGUACAAAACAGUAGUAAGCUUAUAACACUUAGAAUGAAUCCAAUGUGCAUGUCUGCUACUUGUCUUGAAGGUUAUAGUACAGGUGAUUGCUCAAAUCAUUUUAAUCAAAGAUUGGGAUUUGAAAUCAGGGGAAGAGUGAUGAGGCCAAUAGCAUGAACAGAAUGAAAGGUGAUUAUUUCUUCAUAAUUUGGUUAUGCUAGAAUUAUAUCUUGUGAAAAGAGCAGAAACAUGGUCCCCCUAAAAUGCAGCAAGUCAUAAGGUCCCCAUAGCUCAUCUUCAUAGAUAGAAGACAAUAUUCUUUGUAAAGUAUGUCAUCCAUUAUUGUUCCCUCUUGAAAGGAUAGGAGCUUAAUUAUUUUUACUCGGAUAGAUUUUAGUUUACAGCUGCAUUUAAUCAUGUAUUAUAUGAGAAGAAAAUAGCUAAUGAUUGGUUGAUAGCUGUUCUUAUAUCAUAAUAGUUAGAUUUGGCCACAUGAACCUUUCCUCUGUUCCACCUAGUUUUGGGUUAAACCUUUGUUACUAAGUUUUCGCACUAUUUUCCCUUCAUGUUCUCUCAUUCUCUAUCCUCCUUAGGUUUAACCAAAUUAUGUUGCAAAAAUGAUGUUGAAUUUUGCAAGAUCAAAGGGUAUUUUUGUUACUUAUAUUGCUGAAGCUGUGUUGUCCUCCUUGACAUAAUUAUGAAAAAGAAAACAGACAAGUAGGAUCCGCAGAAAUUAUGUGGUGAGAACUUUUCUUUAUUGGGUUUCCAUGUGCUUGCUACAUGCCUAAAAUUUUGAGUGCGACUAACUAUUGCGGCUUGUAGGAAUAUCUGUAUGGAUAGGUUUAUAUCGUAAAAUAGCAGAAGGGACCACCUUUGAGAUCGUUCAAUCCAUGUAUUUUAUUCACUGGAGAUUUAUGUUAGAGGAAAAACAAAAGCUCUACCAAGUAGAGAAGACAAUAUCUUGUGUAAGAAUUGAUCUCAUAUCUGAACCAGCAACUCGGGGACCAUUUCCUUUUACAGUAGCUUUUACAAGAUGAGCAGACAUAAGUUUCAUUUUGAGCAGAACAUUUAUAAAAGAUACUGACUUGCAAUGAAUCUUAUUUUCUUGGAUUGUGUUCUCUAAUGUUGUUAAACUGUUGUCCAGUUUCUUGCUAGAUGUUUAAGUUUAUGCUUGUAAAGAUAUUCCCUAGAAAGUGCUCCUAUGGGCUAUGCUGCAGGUGAAGAUUAAGAUCCUUGGGUUGUGGCUGCUGCCUGCAACUUCAGCUUGGAGGAAUUGUUGACCUGCUGGCAAAAGCUAUUUCCAUAUAAUAUGGUGAAAUUUGAGUUAAAUGUGGAGGAGAAAAGUGAAGUGGCCUGUCUGAGUCACUGGUGGGUUCAAAUUUUGACAAUUUGGUCCACUAGCUUAGCAGACAUAUGGUCCAGUUUGCUGUUAAAUCUGGUUGUUGGUGGGCCUUCACUAAGGAAUCCAUUUUAAUUGCUUGGCUACUGGUGGUGCUGAGUAGGUUCUUUUUUUUUGGAUAGGCUGUGCAUCAGACAAGUGCUGAGCUGAGAUGAGAGAAAGGGAGAAAUUAAUAUGAUGGAAGAUUUAGGACCUCUGUAGGGGUCCUCUAAUUUAUUGUCAUAUUUCC